rnacentral:rRNA from 1 species
UAAGACGUAAGGAACCUGCCCCUAUGCCUGGGAUAACUCUGGGAAACGAGAGCUAAUACCGGAUAGGUGAACGGAAGACAUCUUCGGUUCAUGAAAGAUGGGGAACAUCACAGAGAGAUGGCCUUACGGCGCAUUAGCUAGUUGGAGAGGUAGAGGCUCACCAAGGCGAUGAUGCGUAGCCGGCCUGAGAGGGUGAACGGCCACAUUGGGACUGAGACACGGCCCAGACUCCUACGGGAGGCAGCAG